rnacentral:rRNA from 1 species
AGUGAACGCUGGCGGUAGGCCUAACACAUGCAAGUCGAACGGCAGCACAGUAAGAGCUUGCUCUUACGGGUGGCGAGUGGCGGACGGGUGAGGAAUACAUCGGAAUCUACUUUUUCGUGGGGGAUAACGUAGGGAAACUUACGCUAAUACCGCAUACGACCUACGGGUGAAAGCAGGGAAUCUUCGGACCUUGCGCGAUUGAAUGAGCCGAUGUCGGAUUAGCUAGUUGGCGGGGUAAAGGCCCACCAAGGCGACGAUCCGUAGCUGGUCUGAGAGGAUGAUCAGCCACAUGGGAACGGAGACACGGUCCAUACUCCUACGGGAGGCAGCAGUGUGGAACAUUGGACAAUGGGCGCAAGCCUGAUCCAGCCAUACCGCGUGGGUUAAGAAGGCCUUCGGGUUGUAAAGCCCUUUUGUUGGGAAAGAAAAGCAGCAGGUUAAUACCCCGCUGUUCUGACGGUACCCAAAGAAUAAGCACCGGCUAACUUCGUG